rnacentral:rRNA from 1 species
UACGUAGGGGGCUAGCGUUGUCCGGAAUCAUUGGGCGUAAAGAGCGUGUAGGCGGCCCGGUAAGUCCGCUGUAAAAGUCAAAGGCUCAACCUUUGAAUGUCAGUGGAUACUGCCGGGCUAGAGUCCGGAAGAGGCGAGUGGAACUCCUGGUGUAGCGGUGGAAUGCGCAGAUAUCAGGAAGAACACCAACGGCGAAGGCAGCUCACUGGCCCGAUACUGACGCUGAGGUGCGAAAGCGUGGGGAGCAAACAGG